rnacentral:rRNA from 1 species
AUACGGAGGGUCCAAGCGUUAUCCGGAAUCAUUGGGUUUAAAGGGUGCGCAGGCGGUUUAUUAAGUCAGUGGUGAAAUCUCGGGGCUCAACCUCGAAACUGCCAUUGAUACUGAUAAACUUGAGUUCAGUUGGAGUAGGCGGAAUGUGUAGUGUAGCGGUGAAAUGCUUAGAUAUUACACAGAACACCGAUAGCGAAGGCAGCUUACUAAACUGAUACUGACGCUGAGGCACGAAAGCGUGGGGAGCGAACAGGAGUAGAAACCCCGGUAGUCC